AACGUAGGAGGCAAACGUUAUCCGGAGUUACUGGGCGUAAAGGGCGUGUAGGUGGUUUCGUAAGUCUGGCGUGAAAUUUCUCGGCUUAACCGAGGCAGGUCGUCGGAUACUGCGGAACUUGAGGACGGUAGAGGCGUGUGGAAUUCCGGGUGUAGUGGUGAAAUGCGUAGAGAUCCGGAGGAACACCAGUGGCGAAGGCGACACGCUGGGCCGUACCUGACACUGAUGCGCGACAGCAUGGGGAGCAAACAGG
rnacentral:rRNA from 1 species